rnacentral:misc_RNA from 1 species
UACGAAGACUCCAAGCGUUAUCCGAAUUUACUGGGCGUAAAGCGUGCGUAGGCGGCUUUUUAAGUCGGAUGUGAAAUCCCCGAGCUUAACUUGGGAAUUGCAUGCGAUACUGGGAAGCUAGAGUAUGGGAGAGGAUGGUAGAAUUCCAGGUGUAGCGGUGAAAUGCGUAGAGAUCUGGAGGAAUACCGAUGGCGAAGGCAGCCAUCUGGCCUAAUACUGACGCUGAGGUACGAAAGCAUGGGGAGCAAACAGG